rnacentral:rRNA from 1 species
CAGCCGCCGCGGUAAAACGGAGGGCGCGAGCGUUACCCGGAUUUACUGGGCGUAAAGGGCGUGUAGGCGGCCUGGGGCGUCCCAUGUGAAAGGCCACGGCUCAACCGUGGAGGAGCGUGGGAUACGCUCAGGCUAGAGGGUGGGAGAGGGUGGUGGAAUUCCCGGAGUAGCGGUGAAAUGCGCAGAUACCGGGAGGAACGCCGAUGGCGAAGGCAGCCACCUGGUCCACUUCUGACGCUGAGGCGCGAAAGCGUGGGGAGCAAACCGGAUUAGAUACCCCAGUAGUCCCUGUCUCUUAUAC